rnacentral:rRNA from 1 species
CCCUAUCAAACUUUACUUUAGUUUAACUGGGGCAGUUAAUUAAUAAAAAUUUUAAUAAAGAUUAAGUACUAAAUAGANNNCCCAACANUAGUUGAUUACANUGAACAAGUUACUGUAGGGAUAACAGCGUAAUAUAUAUCUAAAGUUCUUAUUUUGAUAUAAGUUUGCGACCUCGAUGUUGAAUUNAUAUUACUUUCAAGCGCAAGAGCCUGAAAAGUGGGUCUGUUCGACCCCUAAAUAUAUACAUGAUUUGAGUUCAAAUCGGUGUAAACCAGAUUGGUUUCUAUCUAUUNUUAUUUGUGUCUUAGUACGAAAGGACCUGAAACAAUAUUAUAUAAUNAUUUAUAUGGCAGAAAAAUGCUUUAGAUUUAGGAUCUAAUUAUAAUAGAUUAUUAUACUCUAUUUAACUUGCCUAAUCUCUGUUAUUAGAAUCCUUAUCGCAGUAGCUUUUUAUACCCUCCUAGAGCGAAAAAUUCUAAGCUACAUCCAAA